UACGUAGGGAGCUAGCGUUGUUCGGAAUUACUGGGCGUAAAGCGCACGUAGGCGGCUAUUCAAGUCGGGGGUGAAAGCCCGGGGCUCAACCCCGGAACUGCCCUCGAAACUAGGUAGCUAGAAUCUUGGAGAGGCGAGUGGAAUUCCGAGUGUAGAGGUGAAAUUCGUAGAUAUUCGGAAGAACACCAGUGGCGAAGGCGACUCGCUGGACAAGUAUUGACGCUGAGGUGCGAAAGCGUGGGGAG
rnacentral:rRNA from 1 species